AUUGAACGCUGGCGGAAUGCUUUACACAUGCAAGUCGAACGGUAGAGGGGGCAACCCCUUGAGAGUGGCGAACGGGUGAGUAAUAUAUCGGAACGUGCCCAGUCGUGGGGGAUAACGUAGCGAAAGUUACGCUAAUACCGCAUACGAUCUAAGGAUGAAAGCGGGGGACUCGCAAGAGCCUCGCGCGAUUGGAGCGGCCGAUAUCAGAUUAGGUAGUUGGUGGGGUAAAGGCUCACCAAGCCAACGAUCUGUAGCUGGUCUGAGAGGACGACCAGCCACACUGGAACUGAGACACGGUCCAGACUCCUACGGGAGGCAGCAGUGGGGAAUUUUGGACAAUGGACGCAAGUCUGAUCCAGCCAUUCCGCGUGCAGGAUGAAGGCCCCUCGGGUUGUAAACUGCUUUUUGUACGGAACGAAAAGGUUCCCAUUAAUACUGGGAGCUCAUGACGGUACCGUAAGAAUAAGCACCGGCUAACUACGUG
rnacentral:rRNA from 1 species